GAUGAACGCUGGCGGCGUGCCUAAUACAUGCAAGUCGAGCGAACAGAUGAGAAGCUUGCUCCUCUGACGUUAGCGGCGGACGGGUGAGUAACACGUGGAUAACCUACCUAUAAGACUGGGAUAACUUCGGGAAACCGGAGCUAAUACCGGAUAAUAUAUUGAACCGCAUGGUUCAAUAGUGAAAGACGGUCUUGCUGUCACUUAUAGAUGGAUCCGCGCCGCAUUAGCUAGUUGGUAAGGUAACGGCUUACCAAGGCAACGAUGCAUAGCCGACCUGAGAGGGUGAUCGGCCACACUGGAACUGAGACACGGUCCAGACUCCUACGGGAGGCAGCAGUAGGGAAUCUUCCGCAAUGGGCGAAAGCCUGACGGAGCAACGCCGCGUGAGUGAUGAAGGUCUUCGGAUCGUAAAACUCUGUUAUUAGGGAAGAACAAAUGUGUAAGUAACUAUGCACGUCUUGACGGUACCUAAUCAGAAAGCCACGGCUAACUACGUG
rnacentral:rRNA from 1 species